GGGGACACAUGUAUACUUAUGGCUGACUCAUAACUGCUAUAGGAAAAACCAAUAUGGUAAAGCAAUUAUCCUCCAAUUUCAAAGGACAAGAGUGGCUGAGUAAUAGAAAAACAAGACCCAAUAUAUAUACAUUGCCUAUAAGAUACACACUUCUGACUACAGACACACAGAGACAGAAAGGAAAUGGGAAAACACAUUUCAUGCAGAUGGUAAUCGAAACAAAGUUGGGGUAGCAAUGCUUACACCAGGCCCCUAAAACCUUUAAAAUGAAGACUAACGAGACAAAGAAGGACCUUUAUGAUGACAAAGAGACCAAGAAGAUAGAACAACUGUUAUAUAUGCACCUAAGAUAAGAGGGGCUUCCCUGGUGGCUCAGAUGGUAAAGAAUCUGCUUGCAAUGCGGGAGACCCAGGUUUGAUCCCAGGGUUGGGAAGAUCCCCCAGAGAAGGGAAUGGCAACCCACUACUCCAGUAUUCUUGCCUGGAGAAUCUCAUGGACAGGAGUCUGGUGGUCUACAGUCCAUGGAAUCGCAAAGAAUUGGACACGACUGAGUGACUAACACUUGCACUUUUCACCCAAGAUAGUAUCUAACAAAAAGGUACAAAUCACCAUCAGUAACGUAACAGUAGGGGCUUUUAUAUCUCAACUCCAUCAAUAGAUCAUCCAGAAAGAAAAUCAAUAAGGAAACACUGGCCUUAAAUGACAUUAAACCAGAUGGACUUAAUAUAUUUAGAACAUUCUAGCCAAGAGAAGCAGAAUGCAUUCUUUUCAAGAGAACAUGGAACAUUUUUCAGGACAGAUGAUAUGCUAGGCAAUAAAGCAAGCUUGGCAAAUGUAAGAAAAUUAAAACCCCUAAACAUCUUUUCUGACCACAAUUCUAUGAGACUAGAAAUCAGCUACAAGAAGACUGCAAAACCCACAAACAUGUAGAGGCAAAACUAUAUGCUGCCAUACAAGCAAUGGCUCGCUAAAGAAAUCAAAGAGGAGACCAACAACAUAAAAGGAAAACAAACAGAAAGCACAGUGAUCCCAAAUCUAUGGGCUACUGCAAAAGGAGUUCUAAAGAGGCAAGUUUAUAGCAACAGCUUAUCUUAGGGAAAAAGAAAAAUCUGAAAUAAGCAAUCUAUCCUUACACCUAAAGGAACUAGAGAAAAAACAAAACCCAAAGUUGGUAGAAGGAAAGAAAUCAUAAAAAUCAGAGAAGAAAUAAAUGAAACUGAGACUAAGAAAAAACAAAUUAUCAAUAAAAUUAAGAUCUGGUUCUUUGAAGACAAACUUGAUAAGCCUUUAGCCAGAUUCAUCUAGACAGAAGACCCAAAUCAUAAAAUUAUAAGUGAAAAAGACAUUACAACUGACACCACAGAAAUACAUAGGGUCAUAAGACUAUACCACAAAGUAUAUGCCAAUAAAAUGGACAACCUAAAAGAAAUGGAAAAUUUCCUAGAAAUGUACAAUCUCCCAAGACUGAACCAGGAAGAAAUAAAAAGUAUGAAUAGACCAAUUACCAGUAAUUAAGUUGAAUCAGUAUUAAAAACUCCCCAAAAAUAAAAGUUCAGGACCAAAUGGCUUCACAGGUGAAUUCUGCUAAACAUUUAGAAGAGUUAACACCCAUCUUUCUCAAACUGUUCCAAAAAAUUGCAGAGGAAUGAAUGCUUCCAGAAUCAUUCUAGCCAGCAGCAUCACCCUGAUACCAAAGGUAGACAAAGCUAUCACAAAAACGAAAAUUACAGGUCAGAAUCACUGAUUGAAACAGAUGUAAAAAUCCUCAACGAAACAGCAAACUGAAUUCAACAACACAUUAAAAAGAUCAUACACCAUGAUCAUAUGGAGUUUAUCUCUGGGAGGCAAGGAUGGUCCACUAUCUGCAAAUCAUUCAAGGUAACAUACCCCAUUAACAGACUGGAAAAAAAAAAUUACAUGACCAAAAAACAAAGAAAUCAUGAUCAUCUCAAUACAGGCAGAAAAAGCUUUUAACAAAAUUCAGCAUCAUUCAUCAUACUCUGGAAAGUAGCUACAGAGGGAAUAACCUCAAUGUAAUAAAGGCCACAUACAAUAAGCUAACGUCACACUUGACAGUGAGAAGCUAAAUGUAUUUCCUCUAAGAUCAGGAAUAGGAAAAUGUACAACUAUUACUCAAAAUAGUAUUCAAAGCCUUACCUACAGCAACCAGACAAGAAACAGAAAAUAAAAAGAAAGUGAACUGGAAAGGAAGAAGUAAAACUAUCCCUGUUUGCAGAUGACAUGACACUAUAUAGGAAAUUCUGAAGACACCACCAAAAAACUACUAGAGCUCACUGAUGAAUUCAGUCAAGCUGCAAGACAAAACAUACAGAAGUAUAUUUCUCUACACUAACAGUGAACUUUCAGAAUGAGAACUUAAGAAUUCCAUUUACCACUGCAUCAAAAAGAGUAAGAUUCCUAGCAAUAAACCCAACUAAGGAGGUAAAAGGCCAUUACUCAGAAAACUGUGAGACAGCGAGGAGAAAACCUGAAGACCACACACACAGACGGAACAGUACACUGUGGUCAUGGACUGGAAGAGUACUGUUAAAGUGACCACACUGCCCAAGGCAACCGCACACUCAGUGCAUUCCCUAUCAAAAUACCAGCGGCAUUUUUCACGAACUAGGACCAUCAAUUCUAAACUUUGUAGGGAAACAAAAGACCCCAGAUAGCCAAACCAAUCUUGAGAAAGAGUAACAGAGCUGGAGUUAUACUCCCUGACUUCAGACUAUACUACAAAGAUUCAGUCAUCAAAAUGUUACGGUGCUGGCACAAAACACACAGCACAAAGGAGCAGAAAAGAGAGCCCAGAAAUAACCCCCCCACACAUGGUCAAUUAACCUAUGACAGAGGAGGCAAGACACACGAUGGGCAAAAGAUAGUAAGUGGUGCUAGGAACACCAGACAGCUACAUGUAGAAGAAUGAAAUCAGCACACUUUCUCUCACUGCAUACAAAAAUAAAAUGGAUUAAAGACCUAAGUGUAAGACUGGAAACCACACAUACACAAAAAUCCUAGAACACAGAACACUCUCUGACAAACUGCAGCAAUACUUUUCUAGAUUUGCCUUUUAAAGCAAAGGAAACAAAUAUAAGAAUAAACAAAUAGGACCCAAUCAAACUUCUGCAGAGCAAAGGAAAGUUAUCGACACAAUGGAAAGACAACCUUCUGAACAAGAGAAAAUACUUGAAAAUGAUAUGCCCAAGCAGGGGUUGAUAUCCAAAAUAUAUAAACUGCUCCUACAACUCAGCAUCAAACAAACAAAUAACCUGCUUUAAAAACGGGCAGAAAACCUGAAUAGAUAUUUUUCCAAAGACAACAUACAGGUGGCCAGUGGGCACAUGAAAAUAUGCUCAAUAUCAGUAAUCAUCAGAGAAAGGCACAUCAAAACCUUAAGACAGAAUUGGCAUCAUCAAAAAGAACACAAGUAACAAAUGUCGGUGAGGAUGUGGAAAAAAGGGAACUGUACACUGCUGGUGGGAAUGUAAAUUGGUGCAGUCACAACGGAAAAUAGUAUGCAGACUGCUUUAAAAACUAAAACAGAACUACCACAUAACUCAGCAAUUCCACCCCUGAGUAUAUAUCCAAAGAAAAUGAAAACACUAACCUGACAAGAUACAUGUACCCUAAUGUUCUUAGCAGCAUUAUUUACAGUAGCCAAACUACGGAAGCAACCUAAGUGUUCAUCAACAGAUAGAUAAAGACAUGAUAUAUAUACACAAUAGAAUACUACUCAGCCAUAAAAACACAACGAAACUUUGCUAUCUGUAACAAGGCAGAUGAACCUGGAGGGUAUUAAUCUUAGUGAAAUAAGACAAAGAGAAAUACUAUAUAAUUUAUAUGUGGAAUCUAAAAAAUAAAAUGAAUUAAUAUAAUAAAACCACCAGACUUACAGAUACAAUAGAGAACGAACUAGUGGUCAUCCCUGGGGUGACAGGAGGAGGAGGGGCAAGACGGGUAGUGGGUCAAAAAGUACAAACUACUGUGUAUAAAAUACACUACAAGGACAGCAUAGAGAACAGAGCCAAUAUUUUAUAAAAUCUUUAAUGGAUUAUAAUCUAUAAAAAUUCUGAUCCCUGUGUUAUACACUUCAAACUUAUAAAACAUUGUGAAUCAACUACACCUUAGUGAAGAAAUCAACAUCUUACUGACUUUUCUGAUAUAUUUAACAGUAAAAAUUACCUGUUAAUCCAUCGUUUAAUGAAAACUUUGAAAAGAAAAAAUUUAAUUCCACUUACAAUAGCAUCAAAAAGAGUAAAAUAAUUAGGAAUAAACCUAACCAAGGACAUAAAAGUCUUAUACUCUGAAAACUACAAAAUGUUGCUGAAAUUAAAGACAGAAAUAAAUGAGAAGACAUCUUAUAUGAAUGGACUGGAAAACUGUUUUGUUAAGACACCAAUACUAUUCAAAGUGUAGAGAUGCAAAAUAUUCCCUAUCAAAAUCCCAUUGGAAUUCAUUAAGAAAUAGAAAAGUCCAUUCUAAAAUACACAUGGAAUCUCAAGGGACUCUGAACAGCCAAAACAGUCUUGACAAAUAACAAAGUUGGAGGCCUUGUACUUCCUGAUUUCAAAACUUAACAGAAAACUACAAUAAUCAAAUCAGUGUGGCAAUAGCAGAAAGACAGACACACAGUGCAAAGGAAUAAAGAGCCCAGAAAUAAACCCUAGCAUUGAUGGGCAAUAACUUUCAACAAGGAAGAAGACCAUUCAGUGAGGAAACAACAAUCUUGUCAACAGUGUUUGGAAAACUGGACAUCCACAUGGAAAAGACUGAGACUGGACCCUAACCUUACAACAUAUCAACUCAGACUGGAACAGAGACCUAAACAUAAGAAGAUGAUGCAACUAGGAGAAAACUUAGGGGAAGAGCUUUCUUGGACUGGAAUUAUUUCUCGGCACAGGCAACAAAAGUAUUAAACAGAUAAACUGGACUAUAUCAAAAAACUACACAUCAAAAGAACACACUCAACAGUGAAACAAAGUGGGAAAAAAUACACUCAAAUCAUAUAUGUGGUAAGGAGUUAAUAUCUAGAAAAUGAAAAGAACUAGAAUUUAAUUAAAAGAUCAAGCAAUGCUUUUUAUAUAAAGUGGGCAAAGACCUUGACUAGACAUUCCUCCAGAGAAGAUCUCCAAACAGCUAACAAACAAAUGACAAAACAGUGCUCAACAUCAGCAGACUCGGAGGACAGGGAAGUGGGCAGUUGUUUAGUUGGUAAAGAGUUUCUGUUUUCUAAGAUGAGAAGAGUUCUGGUGACUGGUUGCAUAACAAGGUGAAUUACUUAACACUACUGAACUGUAUCCUUAAAAAUGGUUUGGAAGAGGAAAUGGCAGUCCACUCCAGUAUUCUUGCCUGGGAAAUCCCAUGGACAGAAGAGCCUGGUGGGCUGCAGUCCAUGGAGUCCCAAGAGUUGGACAAGACUGAGGCAGAGAAGGCACUUGCCAGAGGCCCCAGAGCUUUUGACGGCAGAGCCAGAACUGUGGCUGAGCGCUCCCAGCUCCCAGGCCUCUUGAUUCUGGUCUCUCUCACUAGACAUGUGUGUAAAAAGCUAGAAUCUAAAACAUGCCUGAGGGCUUCCCUAGUGGCUCAGUGGUGGGGAAUCCGAGUGCCAAUGCAGGAGACACGAGUUCGAUCCCUGGUCAGGGAAGACCCCACCUGCCUCGGGAACCUAAGCCAGUGCACCACACUUACUGACCCUGUGCUCUGGAGCCUGGGAGCCGCAACUACUGAAGCCCACGCACCCCAGAGCCUGUGCUCCACAAGAAAAUCCACGGCCACGAGAAGCCCUGUGCCACAGCUAGAGAGCAGACCGUGUUUGCCGCAACUAGAGACAAGCCCGGCACCAACAGAGGCCCUGGACAGCCAACAAGAAAUAAAACCGCUAAAAAAGGAGACCAAGAUGGUGAGGUUUCCAUCAUGUACAUCCCACCACAGUAAAAUAUAGGUCUAAAGUGGGUCUCUUGUACACAGCAUACAUAUAGGUUUUUUUCUUGCACUCAACAUAGCAGCACCUCAAUAUAUAACGCAAACGCUAACAGCCAUAAAAGGCGAAAUCAACAGUAACACAUUAAUAGUGGGAGACUUUAACACCCCACUUACACCAAUGGACAGACCAUCCAGCUAGAACAUUAAUAAAAAAUGCAACCCUUAAAUGACACACUAGACCAGAGAGACUUAAUUGAUAUCUUAUGGGACAUUCCAUCUGAAAGGAGCAGAAAACAAUUUCUUCUCAGGUGCACACAGAACAUUCUCCAGGACAGAUCACAUCUUGGGUCACAAAUCAAGUCUUGGUACAUUUAAAGAAACUGAAAUUGUAUCAGGCAUCUUUUCUGACCACAACCCUAUGAGAUUAGGAAUCAAUUACAGGAAAAACAAAAAACACAAAGGCAUGGAGGCUAAACAGAAUAAGCAACAGAUUGCUGAAGACGCCAAAGGGAAUAAAGAAUGUAGAGACAAGUGACAACAAAACAUGAUCCAAAACCCAGAGGCCACAGCAAAAGCAGGUUUGAGAGUUUAAAGCAAUAUAAUGUUACUCAGGAAACAAGAAAAAUCUCAAAUAAGCAAUCUAAACUUACACCUGAAGCAACCAGAGAAAGAACAAAACCCCAAAUUAGCAGAAGGAAAGAAAUCAUAAAGACCAGAGCAGAAAUAAAUGAAAUAGAGACAAAGAAAACAGUAAAGCUCAAUGAAACCAAGAGCUAGUUCUCUGAGAAGAUGGAAUUAAACCUUCAGCCAGAAAACUGAUAAACCUUCAGCUAGGUUUAGAAAAGGCAGAGGAACUAGAGAUCAAAUUGCCAACAUCCACUCUUGGCACACACUGUUGGAUCACACAAAAAAAUUCUAGAAAGACAUCUACCUUUGCUUC
ensembl:lncRNA